UUUGAAGCAAAGGCGUCGCGUUAACGGGAUCAAUGGAGAACAAAGGGUAACACUCUUGGUUUCACCUGAAGUCAAGUCACAACAAUCAUACUCAUAAACACAUGAGACCUACAUUCAGUAGUGCCCCAUUUGCUCCCAAGGGAUAAAACCUUCAUCAUGUACCCAGCAGCCCUCAGAGGAGAUCAGCUGACACAGGCAUCUCUAAACCAAGAUGGAGAGGAAGAAGACAGUAGAAGGGGGGAGUCCAGAGCAACGACAGUCAUAACGAUUGUGGUGGUAAAUAAAAAGUACAUGUUCAUCUCUGAGGACUUGUUCUAUUUCCAGAAGCCUUCUUGGGGGGGGCUUUGGUCUGACCACCAACACAAAGACACUUCCUGUCUGAUCUGUAAAGAGAAAAGCUGCAUGUCCCUGGAGGAGCAAGCCUGAGUUCAAAACAUGAACUACUGACUAUAUAAGGAGCUUAUGGACUUUGUCACCACAAUACAGAUCAGCCAUACAGCCCAGCGUGUAAACAAAUGUCAGUCACAUGAUGAUGGGGAGUACUUUUAGAGGAGGAAAAAAGAAACAAGAAAAGGAGAGAAAAGACUGAAAGCAAAGAUUAUCACCCGUGUGUACGCUUGUGAGCUGCCUGACCUUCAUCGUGAAUGAGUGGGAACCUCCAGUAACUCAUCCACCAUUCACGUGCUUCUACAGCCUUUUAAAUGGAUUAACGGAGGUCUUUGUCUCUCCCUGCUCUUUCUCACCACCUCUUUUCUCUCCUCUGAAAUGGCACUCCAUAGGUGGAGUAUCAGUCUGUGAGAGAGGCAGCGAGGAAGGGGAUGGGGUUGCCAUGACGAUGCCAACUUAACGAACUGUGUCUGUCUUCCUGAUUGCGGGUUUAAUUGGAUAUCAUUGAGGAAGAACAAAAAAGCAUUUGAGAGGAGUGCAGAAUGCAGAAUCUCUGUCUAGCUGCCUGUCUGUCUUAAUGUCAUACUCUCUCCCCUUUUGUGUAGUUAUGAAUGAUUAAUGGUGAUUAUAUAAGAGCUGUAGUAUAUGAAGUGAAUGUGUUGAUAUAGUCCACUGAGGACGAGAGAAGGGACUUCCACAGGUCCUCAACAUGUUAAGAUAACUUAGAAUAAUAAAGAGCAUUUAUGUC